UGCAGUCGAACGAUGAACUGGAGCUUGCUCCAGGGAUUAGUGGCGAACGGGUGAGUAACACGUGAGUAACCUGCCCUUGACUCUGGGAUAAGCGCUGGAAACGGCGUCUAAUACCGGAUACGAGCUUCAGCCGCAUGGCUAGGAGUUGGAAAGAAUUUCGGUCAAGGAUGGACUCGCGGCCUAUCAGCUAGUUGGUGAGGUAAUGGCUCACCAAGGCGACGACGGGUAGCCGGCCUGAGAGGGUGACCGGCCACACUGGGACUGAGACACGGCCCAGACUCCUACGGGAGGCAGCAGUGGGGAAUAUUGCACAAUGGGCGCAAGCCUGAUGCAGCAACGCCGCGUGAGGGAUGACGGCCUUCGGGUUGUAAACCUCUUUUAGUAGGGAAGAAGCGAAAGUGACGGUACCUGCAGAAAAAGCACCGGCUAACUACGUGCCAGCAGCCGCGGUAAUACGUAGGGUGCAAGCGUUGUCCGGAAUUAUUGGGCGUAAAGAGCUCGUAGGCGGUUUGUCGCGUCUGCUGUGAAAUCUGGGGGCUCAACCCCCAGCCUGCAGUGGGUACGGGCAGACUAGAGUGCGGUAGGGGAGAUUGGAAUUCCUGGUGUAGCGGUGGAAUGCGCAGAUAUCAGGAGGAACACCGAUGGCGAAGGCAGAUCUCUGGGCCGUAACUGACGCUGAGGAGCGAAAGCAUGGGGAGCGAACAGGAUUAGAUACCCUGGUAGUCCAUGCCGUAAACGUUGGGAACUAGAUGUGGGGGCCAUUCCACGGUCUCCGUGUCGCAGCUAACGCAUUAAGUUCCCCGCCUGGGGAGUACGGCCGCAAGGCUAAAACUCAAAGGAAUUGACGGGGGCCCGCACAAGCGGCGGAGCAUGCGGAUUAAUUCGAUGCAACGCGAAGAACCUUACCAAGGCUUGACAUAUACCGGAAACGUCCAGAGAUGGUCGCCCCGCAAGGUCGGUAUACAGGUGGUGCAUGGUUGUCGUCAGCUCGUGUCGUGAGAU
rnacentral:rRNA from 1 species